rnacentral:rRNA from 1 species
AUUGAACGCUGGCGGCAUGCCUUACACAUGCAAGUCGAACGGCAGCACGGGAGCUUGCUCCUGGUGGCGAGUGGCUAACGGGUGAGUAAUACAUCGGAACGUACCCUGAAGUGGGGGAUAACGUAGCGAAAGUUACGCUAAUACCGCAUAUUCUGUGAGCAGGAAAGAGGGGGAUCGCAAGACCUCUUGCUUUAGGAGCGGCCGAUGUCGGAUUAGCUAGUUGGUGAGGUAAAGGCUCACCAAGGCGACGAUCCGUAGCGGGUCUGAGAGGAUGAUCCGCCACACUGGGACUGAGACACGGCCCAGACUCCUACGGGAGGCAGCAGUGGGGAAUUUUGGACAAUGGCGCAAGCCUGAUCCAGCCAUGCCGCGUGAGUGAAGAAAGUCUUCGGGUUGUAAAGCUC